UAGUGUGUUGACCGAUUCCUUAACAGAUGAUUUAUCAGCAAAUAAGGUCGCUAAUCAGUACAAAACGUCAACUAGCUGCCCAGCGUGUGUUGCUAUUAAUGCUGUCGAUAGAAAAAUAGAAACCUGUACAAGAAUGGAAGCAAUUGGAAUUACUUCACUGGAUAAGAGUACCUGGUGGCAUGUUGACCUUGGGGAUAGAUACAAUGUGUACAAUAUCAGGAUACAGUUUAAAAACUAUGAUGGGUUUACCCAAAGACAGAGGGGUCGUUUUGCCGGGUUUUCGUUGCAAUUCCAAGAGGAGAGUUACAUCCAUGCUUUGAAGGAAAACGACAAGAAAACUUGUCGAAGAAUAAAUACACUACGAUAUUUCCUUGUAGAUGACCAUUCCCGUGUUGUACUCGACACCUCGACAAAUGAAUCAGACUACAUAAACGCCAACUAUAUUGAGGAUGUGUUUGGAAAGAAAUCUUACAUAGCAACACAAGGACCAAAAAAAAGUACCGUCGUUGAUUUCUGGAGAAUGGUGUGGCAAGAAAACACAAGAAUCAUUGUUUGUUUCACUAAUACCAACGAGGCCAAUUCUAAAAAAAUUGCAAAGUACUGGCCAGACAAUAACGAUACUAAUAGGAAUGGCAACAUUACCAUUCGGUGUCAAACAGAGAGAAUAUAUGCCGAGCAUGUCAUAAGACACCUUAGAGUACACACCAGUUCCGAUAAGACAGAGCGAGACGUGUUUAUGUUCCACUACACACAAUGGCCAGAUCACGGGGUCCCAGAACCCCUCAGUCUAGUAGUGUUCCAUCGUCACGUGAUGAAAACUGCAGAGGAACGUCCUCAGGGAUGCAUCGUUGUCAACUGCAGUGGAGGAACGGGCAGAACUGGAACCUUUAUAGCACUAGAUGCGUUGUAUAAGGCAGCAGAUAAAACUGGAAAAGUGAACGUUCCUAAGUAUGUUGAGAGGAUGAGAAAUGCGAGGAUGAACAUGAUCCAAGCAGAGGAUCAGUACAAACUAGUGUACCUGACGUUACGAGAGUCUUUUAGAGGAAGACCACGUACUAUAUUAUCAACAAAAUUUCUACAAGAAUUUCAGGAUUCCUGUGGUAUCAAAGGUACUGGCAACACGUAUCCCAUUGUGGUGGAAUUUGAGGAACUUUUGUCUGUAAGAAAAGAAUACACACAAGAAGAUUAUAAUUCAGGGCGUUUAAACAUAUCGGCGAAUUAUGUGCCUAGUGUCUUACCAGUUGAAUGCUACCUUUGUCCGUUAACCAACACGAAAAAUAAAAACACCUAUUACAACGCAGUCUCUUUACAGUCGUUUACUAUAACCGACCGAUUUAUCAGUGCCCAGUUUCCUCUCCCAGACUACACAGAAGACUUUCUGAGACUUGUGGAAGCUUACUACACUCCUACCAUUGUAUCCCUGUAUUCUUUAAUGGAGGUGGAAUCGACUUCUCUCUGGCUUCCAACAAAGCAUCAAAGCAAAACGGUGGGGUCAUUUAUCACAGCCAUAUCUGAGAAAUCAAAGACUAAAUCCAUAGCCAGGACUAACAUUACGUUGCAACAUAAGGGAGGGGGUAGCAUGCCAGUAACUAUAAUUGAGUGUAGACAGUGGAAAGAGAAUGAAAUCGAAAAUACCAGCAUAUUAGUUGACCUAAUACAAGAAACAAAGAAGGAGGAAAUGUCUUAUCCUGAUGGAAGAAUUUUAAUUCUUUCUAGCGAUGGCGCAAAACGAUGUGGUCCAUUCUGUGCUGUAUUUAAUGCCCUGGAACAAAUGAUGAUGGAUGAGGAAGUGGAUUUGUUCACCAUUACACGACAGCUUCAAACACGAAGACCAGAGUUCUUGUCCAGUCUGGAGGAAUACCAACUGUGUUACGGUGCAGUGGCAGAAUAUUUACAGAAUGACAGUGUGUAUGCAAACGCCUAGAUAUUCCACCUCAUGUAUUGUGUACAUGUGAAACACGUCAUCAAUGAAGGAUUUAAUAUACAUACAACGCAAUGGUUGUAAUGUUAUGAAAUAGGAAAUGACUAAAAUGUGAUACAUGAGUUUAAUA
rnacentral:sRNA from 1 species